CGGGUAUGAACGAUUUAUCGUUCUAAGUGAGUGACGUCACACUGCCAAGAAAAGCUUCUAGUUAGAAUCAGACCGCCCGUACCGCAAACCGACACAGGUAGUCGGGUCGAGAAGACCAAGGUGAGCGAGAGAACUCUCGUUAAGGAACUCGGCAAAAUGACCCCGUAACUUCGGGAGAAGGGGUGCUGAUCGCAAGAUCAGCCGCAGUGAAUAGGCCCAGGCGACUGUUUAUCAAAAACACAGGUUUCUGCAAAAUCGUAAGAUGAAGUAUAGGGGCUGACGCCUGCCCGGUGCUGGAAGGUUAAGAGGAUGGGUUAGCGUAAGCGAAGCUCAGAAUUGAAGCCCCAGUAAACGGCGGCCGUAACGAUAACGGUCCUAAGGUAGCGAAAUUCCUUGUCGGGUAAGUUCCGACCCGCACGAAAGGCGUAACGAUCUGGGCACUGUCUCAACGAGAGACUCGGUGAAAUUAUAAUACCCGUGAAGAUGCGGGUUACCCGCGACAGGACGGAAAGACCCCAUGGAGCUUUACUGUAGCUUGAUAUUGGGUGUUUGUACAACUUGUACAGGAUAGGUAGGAGCCGUAGAAGUCGGGACGCUAGUUUCGACGGAGGCAUCGGUGGGAUACUACCCUCGUUGUAUGAACACUCUAACCCACGCCGGCAAUCACGGCGGGAGACAGUGUCAGGUGGGCAGUUUGACUGGGGCGGUCGCCUCCUAAAAGGUAACGGAGGCGCCCAAAGGUUCCCUCAGAAUGGUUGGAAAUCAUUCGCAGAGUGUAAAGGCAUAAGGGAGCUUGACUGCGAGACCUACAAGUCGAGCAGGGACGAAAGUCGGGCUUAGUGAUCCGGUGGUUCCGCAUGGAAGGGCCAUCGCUCAACGGAUAAAAGCUACCCUGGGGAUAACAGGCUUAUCUCCCCCAAGAGUCCACAUCGACGGGGAGGUUUGGCACCUCGAUGUCGGCUCAUCGCAUCCUGGGGCUGUAGUCGGUCCCAAGGGUUGGGCUGUUCGCCCAUUAAAGCGGUACGCGAGCUGGGUUCAGAACGUCGUGAGACAGUUCGGUCCCUAUCCGUCGCGGGCGCAGGAAAUUUGAGAGGAUCUGUCCUUAGUACGAGAGGACCGGGAUGGACAUACCGCUGGUGUACCAGUUGUUCUGCCAAGGGCAUCGCUGGGUAGCUAUGUAUGGAUGAGAUAAACGCUGAAAGCAUCUAAGUGCGAAACUCACCUCGAGAUAAG
rnacentral:rRNA from 1 species